rnacentral:rRNA from 1 species
CCGCACGGGUGAGUAACACGUAUCCAACCUGCCGUCUACUCUUGGACAGCCUUCUGAAAGGAAGAUUAAUACAAGAUGGCAUCAUGAGUCCGCAUGUUCACAUGAUUAAAGGUGUUCCGGUAGACGAUGGGGAUGCGUUCCAUUAGAUAGUAGGCGGGGUAACGGCCCACCUAGUCUUCGAUGGAUAGGGGUCCUGAGAGGAAGGUCCCCCACAUUGGAACUGAGACACGGUCCAA